rnacentral:RNase_MRP_RNA from 14 species
CUGGGGAAAGUCCCCGGGCGACGGGCAGAAAGUGCCGCACCUUCAGACGAGGUGCAACGGCAGCGCACGCUGUCAAACGCGACGUUGGCUGCGGGCUGACGCGUGAACAAACAAUCGCCAACGACACAGUCAUGUGACCAGUGGGGAUGCAACCCACCAACACAACGGGGCUUAC